GCGAGCGCCGCGCGCUGCCCGGGUUCCCAUCCGCGCCUCUCCCUCCACACCUCCCAGCAAGCAGAGGGAGCCGGCUCUGGCCUCCGCCAGCCCAGAGAGGCUUCCACAGUGCAGCGGCGGGCUGAAGGGCUCCUCAAGCGCGGCCAGAGUGGACGCCGAGGCCGAGGAGGCGCGGAGAGCGAGCGAGGGCUGCUAGCCCAUGCAAUGGACUCCAUGAAGGUUCUUAUGCUUUAAUGCUUUAUUUUUGUGUGGUUGCCUCCUGCCAGGAGGUGGCGCUUUCCAGAAAGCAUCAGCUAGUAUAGAGAGGGACUAGAGGUGGGCAGGGCUCUAGUACUCCGAAGAUUAUAUGCCCUUUGUCUUCCGCUACCAGGGUGGAUAAGGAAGGACCAUUUGGCAAGGGCAGAGCUAGGCAUGUCUGAGCUCAGACUCUCCUUAGGGGGGUCUUGCUGCAGCUGCUGUGGGGGAUGGGGUGAGAUUCCCAGGUCACUGGAGUUGUGUGCCUAGGAGGAUUAUGGCUGCCUUUGCUGAGUCAUGCCGGUUAUCAGGAAAGUAGGGGAAAGCCAGAAGUCACAGGCUUCACCCAGCUCCCAUACAAAACGAAGGGCCGGUCUCACUCCCACCAUGCCCCCACCAAUAGCUCCGAGUCUGUUUCCAGGUCGAGGGUGUGAUGGGCUUGAAAACUUGCCGCGGGUUACCCACCUCCAGCUGCCAGAGAAAAGGGCUUAGUUCUUCCCCUGCCUGUGGAGUCUGCACACCAGAUUUGAGCCCUCCCUCGAGUUCUGGCCAGGAGACUUCUCACCCUGUUCAAAGUGUUACAAAGUUCAGCUAGAGAUUUCCUUCUCCCUGUGAAGUAUACUCCACGCUCCUUUGAUCACCCACCUGAUGGAUCUCUGUGGUGCCAGGAAGGAAUGUCCCUAGCAAGGGGACAUAGCGAGCUCCCAGGGCGUUUCUGCUGCUUCCUCUACCCCUGCAUUUCAGCUCUCAAAAUUGGCUCAGCUCCAGGUUCCUGCUUGAUUUGUGAAACAGCCCAGGAAUAAGGGACAUUCUCCUGGAUCAUUCUGCUUCGUGAGAGGAUGAGGGCUCAGGAAACCGUGAGUAUUUUGCUGCUACUCACUUAUGGAGUUUCACUCUUAC
rnacentral:lncRNA from 1 species